rnacentral:pre_miRNA from 1 species
CAGGCUAAGAAAAAUAAUUGGAUAGAAAAUAUUACUCUAUUCAUUUAUCUCCCAGCCUACA